rnacentral:rRNA from 1 species
GAUGAACGCUGGCGGCGUGCCUAAUACAUGCAAGUCGAGCGGACAGACGAGGAGCUUGCUCCUCUGACGUUAGCGGAGGGCGGGUGAGUAACACGUGGAUAACCUACCUAUCAGACUGGGAAAACUUCGGGAAACCGGAGCUAAUACCGUAUAAUAUAUUGCACCGCGUGGGUGAAUGGUGAAAGACGGUGUUGCUGGCACUUAUAGAUGGAUCCGCGCCGCAUUGGCUAGUUGGUAAGGUAACGGCUUACCAAGGGAAGUAUGCGUAGCCGACCGGAGGGGGUGAUCGGCCACAUUGGAACUCGGACGCGGUCCUUGCUCCUACGGGACGCCGCAGUAUGCAAUCGUCCGCAAUGGUCGAGAGCCUUACGGAGCAGCGCCGCGUGAGUGAUGGAAGUCUUCCGUGCGUAAUACUCUGUUAUUAGUUAAGAACCAAUGUGUAAGUAACUAUGCACGUCGUGACGGUACCUGAUAAGAAAGCCCCGGCUAACUACGUG